rnacentral:rRNA from 1 species
UACGGAGGGUGCAAGCGUUAUCCGGAUUCACUGGGUUUAAAGGGUGCGUAGGUGGGUUGGUAAGUCAGUGGUGAAAUCUCCGUGCUUAACAUGGAAACUGCCAUUGAUACUACUGAUCUUGAAUUUUCUGGAGGUAAGCGGAAUAUGUCAUGUAGCGGUGAAAUGCUUAGAUAUGACAUAGAACACCAAUUGCGAAGGCAGCUGGCUACACGAAUAUUGACACUGAUGCACGAAAGCGUGGGGAUCAAACAGG